CGGACGGGUGAGUAAUGUCUGGGAAACUGCCUGAUGGAGGGGGGUAACUACUGGAAACGGUAGCUAAUACCGCGUAACGUCGCAAGACCAAAGAGGGGGACCUUCGGGCCUCUUGCCAUCGGAUGUGCCCAGAUGGGAUUAGCUAGUAGGUGGGGUAACGGCUCACCUAGGCGACGAUCCCUAGCUGGUCUGAGAGGAUGACCAGCCACACUGGAACUGAGACACGGUCCAG
rnacentral:rRNA from 1 species